UACGGAGGAUCCGAGCGUUAUCCGGAUUUAUUGGGUUUAAAGGGUGCGCAGGCGGGAGAUUAAGUCGGCGGUGAAAUUUUGCAGCUCAACUGUAAAAGUGCCUUCGAUACUGGUUUCCUUGAGUGUGGAUGAAGUAGGCGGAAUUUGUGGUGUAGCGGUGAAAUGCUUAGAUAUCACGAGGAACUCCGAUUGCGCAGGCAGCUUACUAAUCCAUCAUUGACGCUGAGGCACGAAAGCGUGGGGAUCAAACAGGAUUAGAUA
rnacentral:rRNA from 1 species